rnacentral:miRNA from 1 species
GUUCCUUGACCUGUGACCUGUAG